CUAAGAAUAUUCAUUAAAAACAUAAAUAACUAAACACAGUAAUUCAAAACAUAUAAGCAAACAAGAACUGCAUCUUUUGUUCAUCAAGGCUGAGCAAGAAAUAGACCCACUGUACAGAAGAGAACUGAAAGAUGGUGAGUUUGGUUUGCUGGUACAUUGUUUGGGAUAUUCAGAGGAAGACGGUAGAAUAGGAGGUCCCAGACUGCUCUCCCCUGACAUGGAAAGCUGAACUACAACUAUCCACUGAUGAGAACACCUUGGUGAAAAUCUCAAAACUUGGGAAUAAGCUUGAGACACCUGAAUGGACCAUAGAACCUAAUAACAGCACUAGGCAGACUUGGAGUCUCUCUCUGUCACCCAGUCUGGAGUGCAGUGGCACAACUGUAGCACACAGCAGCCUCCAACUCCUGAGCUCAAGUGAUCCUCCUGCCUCAGCCUCCCAUGUUGCCAAGAUUACAGGUGUGAGCCACUGCACCUGGCAGAGGUAGAGGGAAUGUCAUAGAAAAAGGUCCUGCUGUGGGAGCUAAUCUAGUAACCUUCAGGAACAUCAAGGAAUGCAUGCAGCUGCAGGUCG